rnacentral:lncRNA from 12 species
AAGCCCUGUUUAAAAUAAGUAAGGAACGGCCAUCUUCGGGAGCACAUUGAAACACGAUAUUCAUAGGGAUAGAAGAAAACAACGUGAAUGUUUGCCACAGAAGAGAUGUGGCAUGGUACCAAGCAAAUGGCACAGUCUACUCCUAGCCUGCCUCCACCCUCAACUUCUGUUUUCAUCAGCUGAAAGGCAAGGAUGGAAGGGUUGUCAGAAAUGGAAAAGCAUCUUGGAGUGUUUACUUCCUAGAACUCUACUGAAGCUCAAACUCUCAGCUUAG